GCCGCGGCGAUUUACCGACUGAGCUGGUAAAGCGAUAGGUGAGAAGAUGGCGAUUACUCCGAGAGCUAUUAUCCGCGCGGGUUCGAAUCCCGCCUGUGGCA